rnacentral:rRNA from 1 species
UACUGAGGGCUCGAGCGUUGUGCGGAAUCACUGGGCUUAAAGCGUGCGUAGGCGGACCUGCAAGUACUUUGUGAAAUACCACGGCUCAACCGUGGAAUGGCUCGGUAUACUGCGGGUCUUGAGAUCGGUAGAGGUUGCCGGAACUCUAGGUGGAGCGGUGAAAUGCGUAGAUAUCUAGAGGAACGCCAAAGGCGAAGGCAGGCAACUGGGCCGAAUCUGACGCUGAGGCACGAAAGCGUGGGUAGCGAACGGG